rnacentral:rRNA from 1 species
GACAGUGGCGGACGGCUGAGUAACACGUGGGUAGCUUCCUUGAAGUGGGGAAUAGCCUCGCGAAAGGAGGGNUAAUACCCCAUAGUUCCGUAAGGAUAAAGAUUUAUCGCUUCAAGAGGUGCCUGCKGCCUAUCAGCUUGAAGGUGUGGUAAUGGCGCACCUUGGCGAUGACGGGUAGGGGCCCUGAGAGGGGAAACCCCCAGACUGGGACUGAGACACGGCCCAGACUCCUACGGGAGGCAGCAACUAGGAAUAUUGCGCAAUGGGCGAAAGCUGACGCAGCGACGCCGCAUGGAGGAAGAAGGCCUUCGGGUUGUAAACUCUAAUAGCAGAGGAAGAAAUCUUGACUGUACUCUGCGAAAAGCCCUGACUAACCACGUGCCAGCAGUCGCGGUAAUACGUGGAGGGCAAGUGUUAUCCGGAAUUAUUGGGCGUAAAGGGCAUCUAGGCGGCUUAAAAAGUCAAAGGUAAAAUGUCAAAGCUCAACUUUGGCCGGUCCUUUGAUACUUUUAUGGCUAGAGGAAGAUAGGGGCAGACGGAGCUUGCGGUGUAGGAGUGAAAUCCGUUGAUAUCGCAAGGAACACCAAUGGCGAAGGCAGUCUGCUGGGUCUUUCCUGACGCUGAAGUGCGAAAGCGUGGGGAGCGAACGGGAUUAGAUACCCCGGUAGUCCACGCUGUAAACGAUGAGCACUAGAUCUCUGAGAGCUCGACCCUCUGGGGAUCAAAAGCUAACGCGUUAAGUGCUCCGCCUGGGAAGUACGGCCGCAAGGCUAAAACUCAAAGGAAUAGACGGGGGCCCGCACAAGCGGUGGAACAUGAGGUUUAAUUCGACAAUAAGCGAGGAACCUUACCAGGUCUUGACAUCCCGCGAACCCCCAAGAGAUUGGGGGGUGCCUUUUGGAACGCGGUGACAGGUGCUGCAUGGUCGUCGUCAGCUCGUGUCGUGAGAUGUUGGGUUAAGUCCCGUAACGAGCGCAACCCUACGGUGUGUUAUAUGUGUCACACUGGACCGCCUCGGUUAACGGGGAGGAAGGUGGGGAUGACGUCAGAUCAGCAUGGCUCUUACGACCUGGGCGACACUCGUGUUACAAUGGACGGUACAAAAAGUUGCCAGCCCGCGAGGGUGAGCUAAUCUUUAAAAACCGUUCUCAGUUCGGAUUGAAGGCUGCAACUCGCCUUCAUGAAGUUGGAAUCGCUAGUAACCGCGGAUCAGCCUCGCCGCGGUGAAUAAGUUCUCGGGCCUUGUACUCACCGCCCGUCACACCAGRAAAGCUGGUGAUACCUGAAUCCUCGACUUGUCGGGGACACGGUAGGACCAGUGAUUAGGGUGAAGUCGUAACAAGGUAGCCG